AGGACGAACGCUGGCGGCGUGCUUAACACAUGCAAGUCGAGCGGUGAUCCUCCUUCGGGAGGUGAUCAGCGGCGAACGGGUGAGUAACACGUGGGCAACCUGCCCUCACACUGGGAUAACCUCGGGAAACCGGGGCUAAUACCGGAUACGACCUCGAGCGGCAUCUCUUGAGGUGGAAAGCUCCGACGGUGAGGGAUGGGCCCGCGGCCUAUCAGCUUGUUGGUGGGGUAAUGGCCUACCAAGGCGACGACGGGUA
rnacentral:rRNA from 1 species